GUGCCAGCAGCAGCGGUAAUACGUAGGGUGCAAGCGUUGUCCGGAUUUAUUGGGUUUAAAGGGUGCGUAGGCGGCCUGUUAAGUCAGUGGUGAAAUCCAACAGCUCAACUGUUGAUGUGCCAAUGAUACUGACGGGCUUGAGUACAGACGAGGUAGGCGGAAUUGACAGUGUAGCGGUGAAAUGCAUAGAUAUUGUCAAGAACACCGAUAGCGAAGGCAGCUUGCUAGCCUGUAACUGACGCUGAGGCACGAAAGUGUGGGGAUCAAACAGGAUUAGAUACCCUGGUAGUCCACACUGUAAACGAUGAUUACUCGAUGUUGGCGAUACACAGUCAGCGUCUUAGCAAAGCGAUAAGUAAUCCACCUGGGGAGUACGCCGGCAACGGUGAAACUCAAAUGAAUUGACGG
rnacentral:rRNA from 1 species